AAAUCAAUGAUGACACCCCAAUUGCAUUCCUUGGAGCUGGACAGAAUAAGUGAAAAUUCUUAAAGCAUCCUUCUCAUCAUAACUGAGGUCC
rnacentral:snoRNA from 1 species